rnacentral:lncRNA from 1 species
UUUAUCCUUAUAAACUUGAUCCUCCUCAACAAAUUCGUUCAACAUAUUAUCUAUUAUGCCCGUAUUUUCACUAAAAUUCGUGUUUCAAUCAAUUCAAUAUCAAUAAUCUCAGUGCUAUAAGUUGUUGAUACAUCUCUAGAAUUUGAAUUUGUAGCAACCAAACAACUGGAACUUGAAGCAACCACAGAACUUGUAACAACCAAAUGAUUUUCAUAAAUCUCUUUCACU